GCUGCCCGCAGGACGGUCAGGUGGGCCCCCCAGCUCGCUGCCAGCGCGGCCUCUGUCCCUCUCGGGCCGGCUCUCCAUCUUGUCGCCCGUAGCCCGCCUUCUCCGUGGCUCUCCAGCCGCUGGGGCCGCAGAGCCGAGGCCGGGUUACCUCAGGAAACGCGAUGUGGUAGUGGGUCGGAAUAAACCCGCGCGCCCCAGAAUUCGCCUUGGGGGCGUAAGGACAGAUUCGGACUUUUCGUUUCCUAUGUCCACAUUUAUUGAGCACCUAAUAUGUGACACCCGAGGCUGUAAGAAGAGGAACGCAGCGGGCGGAGAAAAGCCAGAGCUUUUUCUCUGUGAGCCGCUGCCUCCAGGGCCAUAGCCGACCCUGCUCCGAGAUCCCAGCCGCCGCUCUCCGUGCAGGAGGGGUGCCCACCCUGGGGAGGCCAGGGUGCCCGGAGUGGAGGGACAGGGCUUCAAGCGACCGGGAGUUUCCAGCAAACCCCUGAUCCCUGAGCAGUUUAUUUUAAAAGCUUUUGCAAAUGUUGGACGGUUUCGUUUGGUGGAGGCCGUCUUUGCACUAAAUUCUCCUGUCCUCCCCCUUCGAAACGCACAAAAUGAAUUUUGAACAGAUUUUGGAUGAGAGGUUUUCUUCCUUUUUUCAUCUUCUGAAACAUUUCCCCCUCAUUUCUUCUCAGAUAAAGACCCAGAAACCCGGGACAGUUACUCGGUGUACAGCUAGUCAAAUACUGAGGAAACCAGUCGAUAUUUGCCAAAGAUUGGGCAUGUUCUGGGUGGUCUCAGAUUUUGAAGAAACGACUUUUUUACUGCACAAAAUAGUUUUACAAUCAGUUCCAUCAGACAGCCCCAGGGGCUCUCCUAGGGAAAGGGGCCAAUAGGCAAGGUUGCAUGGGGAUAAGAGAGGCAAGCGGCCAGUGGAAAACGGUUUUUUGUUUUUUUUUUCCUAACAGUUGGGCAUUUCUGUAGCUCUGAAAGCAAACUUGUUUGUUUCAUUUCAACGAUAGAAAAAAAACACUCCUGUUUUGGAAAUGUAACCCAGCAUAAAAAUACAUUUGCAAUGGGGAAAAAGAAAGCAGUUUAGGGCCACCCAGAAGAAAAUAUUUUUUCCCUGAUUUUUUUUUAAUUUGGUAUUUCCCAGUGUGGGUUUGCCUCAUUUUACAAAUAGCUGCCCAUGUCAAGAUGUGGGUAUGUGAUUUAAAUAUUUUAAUUUGAAUCACAUUUUACAUAGUCUAGGAAACUGACAAAAGAAUCCUAUAGAGAAUUGUUUUAUAAAGUGAAUAACUGCUUCUCUACCUACCCGCCCCUCUCAUUCUUCUUUUCUGUGCGUGUUUUUGGGGGGCUGUUAUGGGAUAAAUCUUGUUUGGCUUAAAAAUCACUAAAACGCAGCCUUUCAAAUCCAAAACAGAGAGCUUAGGUACCCAACAUUCUAUAGAAUGUAUUAUUUCCUCAAGAGGUUGCUAGGAACAGUUAUGUAGAUCUACCAGGUGCAGGGAAGCACUCCACACCCUCACCCAGGUCCUGUAUCCCUGCAAGACUGCGUUGGAAAGACUGAAGAGGUAAGAAUAUACCGAUUUAAUUGCGGAUUCCGGGUCACAUUUCACGUUUCCAUGCUCUUUCUUUGAAGUAAUUUUUAAUUUAAAAUCUUAGGCUCUUGGAUUAUUUGGGUUUGUAUGGUUGAAUGAAACUAUCAUUGACCUUAGGUAUAUUUAUUUCUUCUUGGUAUCAGACCUAGUAUGAUGGAGGCACAAACCUGUUUUGCGUUUUUCUUUACUCACUCUACUUAUUAAGCACCUACCUACCAUGUACAGGGUAACUGUUCUAGGGGCUAUAGAUGUUGUAUUUCAGGUUUGUCUACUCAGUUUUCUUUUUCUGGGUCACUUUGCAUCUUUAUCGCUGGGCUUCGUAAAAGACUAAUAAUAAUCCGCUUCAUCUGUAUAGUGCUUUACAGCUUACAGAGCACUUUUACAAAAAUUGUCUCAUGUGAUCCUCCCACAUAAACCUCAGUUAAGCACAUGGCGUGGGAAGCAUCAUGGCUGAGUGCAAAGAACCUGGACCAUGAAUACAGAUCAACCUGAGUACCCAUUUUAUAGCUGAAGAAGCUGAGCCACUGUUUAGGGUCACGAACAGUUAUUCUCCUUACUACUACCUGUAAGUAGUAAGCCAGUGCUCCUUUCACAUGUUUGUGGACUAUCUGAGAAACUGCAUGCUAUAUGCACAUAUAAAGUGUGCUUCCCAGACUUACAGAAAGCAUACAACCCCAG
rnacentral:lncRNA from 1 species